AGUUCUAGCCUGGCCUACAUAUACUAUCGUUUUCUAUAAGGACAACGUCAUGGGAGAGAACUUAGUGACUUACAAUACACACAGUUCCCUCUUCAGUGCCAAAAGGACAAAUCAUGGUGACAGAGCUCGUGCGGCGUGCGUUAGGGGGAGUGUCUCUCCCUCCUCUAACUCCACCAAGGAGGCAGAGUGUAUGGAUGCAGAUGCUGCCGUUGGAGGGUGUUAUCAAUAUCUCUUGCCCAAAAUUUGUUUGGAAGUUGAUAAAUGUUGCCACACCCAACUGAGAGGAUAAAGAGAUUUAUCCUUCACUCUUGAAGAACAACAGAUGGCAGCCGGCUGGAACGAGGAAGAGAAGGAGGUGGAAUGGGACAAUCUUUCUUCUUCUUCAGCAGGAAGCUGUGGCAAAGACAGCAUUCAUACUGCGUUCUGUGGCUCAACGGUUUCUUCCGCACUGGGGUUAUUUCUACUACAUUCCAGGCAGGCUAUACUUUCUGGAGAGGUUCUGAAAGGAGUUAUGCCAGCAGCUCAGACAAACUGUUCAAAGGCAGCCUUCAUGAAGAGAUGCUUGAUUCUCAAGAGUUAAGGGUCAUGGUAGAGAGACCACUCAACUGAGCCUCCUCAGAGACAUGGGGGUGGGGGUGGGCGUUGAUUAUACACGGUGAGCUCCUUACCAGCAGGCUGCAUCAUCUCCUGCUCCACUCAGCAGCUUCAAAGCAGGCCAAAGGUGUUGUGAAGAACAGUGAAGAAGGCCUCUGCAAAUGAGACCCUGACCAAGAAGUUAGCAAAAAGGAACAUGCAGCAAUAAAAGUUGGCUUCCCCACCUCACACAUUAUGUUUUAGUAAUGCACUCUCCCACUCUGGUUAAAAAAAUAAAAUAAAAUAAAAAAACAAGUCAGUUAAAUAUUUACAUGCAGAAUCAGCCCUGGCAGCAGAUUCAAAGUUGACUAUUAAAGCCGGCAGAAGCUGCUUCUGUGUCAGAGGCUUUGAGAUUCUGGGCCUCAAUUAACCUUUCCAAAUAGGAACUGACAGCCCUGGAUGGAAAGUACGGGGAGACGAAAAUGUUUCUGAAGAAUGUUUGACUACAGAGUAAACAGCCCGAAUAAAAAUAUUGAAUCGGAUGCUGCCUCCACAUUCCAUGAAGCUGAACACAGCGAAAGCACACCAUUGAAUUGAAAAGAGGUCGUACAAGCUGCGUUUAACCAAACUACAUGAAAUGAGCUGUGUUAGAAUAAGACCGAGAAAAAAAUUUCUCCGGUUAUUUUAGGUCUUGACAUGAUGUUGCUGACAUUAAAGGCAUAACUUCACAGAUACUUAUCUGCACGCAAGCCUUCCUGUCAUUUCUGGUGCCAAAGCAAUGCAUGAGAAAAAUAUUUACUAGAUGUAUUUAUUCACUUUGAAGGAGGAUGCUCUUCUGGUAGCCAAACUAUUUUCUUUUGGUGCAAAAUAGGACAGUACAUAUUCUUCAGAUUCAGCAUUUCAUUAUGAUGGAAGAAGGAGAAGGGACCCAAGGGAACCCAUGGCAUCACUAAGAACUGUUACAAAACAACACACACCAAUGUUAAAUGUCGGAAGCACCCAUCCACAAGGCGGUGUCUCAUGGUCAGUGCCCAGAGCGUUUAUUAGCCAGCACAGGAUUCUCUGCGGAAUGCUGGCAUGUAGCUGUAAGAAGUUCAGGGCUGUGUCUCAGAAAGGCCUUUUGCAUCAGCUAGCUGACAACAUGGACUAGAAAAGUCUUUGUGACAUGUUAAGCAUGUAUCAUUCAUUCGGUAAGCCUUCAAGGCUGGUGACGCCAAGCACUGUCCUUCACCCGACUGGCUCGUCCACCGUGAAGAGAAUAUCACUGUUUUCUGAUCCUUUGCACCAGCUAGUUCUUGUCUGGACUCCUGUCCCUCUGAGCUGGUGAACCUUGCCCAUUUCUCUCCUUC